rnacentral:rRNA from 1 species
UACGUAGGGUGCAAGCGUUAAUCGGAAUUACUGGGCGUAAAGCGUGCGCAGGCGGUUAUGUAAGACAGUUGUGAAAUCCCCGGGCUCAACCUGGGAACUGCAUCUGUGACUGCAUAGCUAGAGUACGGUAGAGGGGGAUGGAAUUCCGCGUGUAGCAGUGAAAUGCGUAGAGAUCGGGAGGAACACCAGUGGCGAAGGCGGCCGGCUGGGGGUGACCUGACGCUGAGGCGCGAAAGCGUGGGGAGCGAACCGG